AUCAAGUUUAUCAAAAAAUGUCAUGAAACAUUUUUGUAGAGAAUUUAAUUUCCUGUAAGACAGAUCUUGUAACUUUUGUUAUUGAUCCAAGGGCUCUGGAGACAAUUCACGAUUUAUUGAAGAUGGAAAUGAAUUUUUUGGUGAGCAACUCGUUGCUAGGGAAACGUAAUUUCUGUUUACAAUUGAAUUGAAGCAGUGUUUUAGGGUUAAUUUAAUUGACGAGUUGACGAAAAAUGUUAUGGGGAGGGAGCCCACCUUUAGAUUUUUCUUCUGAAAUCGAUAAAAACAGUGAUGAUCCACUGGAGAUAUUGAUAGUUGGGGCCUGCGAUGCCAGGCACAUAAUCAAGACCCUCUCGUCUCUGGAGAAAGCGUCGAAACGAAUGAGAUAUCACAUCGUCGAGGCAACUCUCGAGGACAUUGCGAGGUCUAUUCUUCUUAUUAAUAUCUCACUCGACAAACAAUUGGGGUUCCAGGAAGCCAGUCGAUAUUUCCUAGAAGUCCUGGGAAAUACCCUGAUCACUCCAGGAACAGCGAAAUAUCUAAUUAAAACCAUCAAACGAUUGAUUGACGUGAUUACCCAGACGUACCCCUGUCCCUGGCUGAAUCUGGAGGGGCUGAAAUACCGAGAUAGGGACGGUAUCGAGGCGAUCUUCAAGUUUUGGGUGAGAGCUCUUUGCGAAGGUGUUCCUAUGGUCAAAUACUGGGACAAGAGAGUUCGAAAUUCCCUGAAUACGAGGUACGACUAUCGAGACGGUGUCUUCGACUGGGAUUACCAUAUGGUGCUCAUGUCGACGGGGCUGAAGUACCUGACGAUUCGCGAGUACAAGUUCUGGAGGAGCAAUGGUAUUGCCUUCACGUGGAUCGAGACUGAUCCUACGAGGAGCAAUCCGACAUUGCUGAGUGGAAUUCACGCUGUGGGACAGGGGUUUAUUCAUUAUGCAUACAAGGGUGACAUCAGAAAUGGGCCUUAUUUCACGUGGUCGCUUGAUGAUCUCAACAGAAAUCCCAAGCUGAGGGCCACUGACGUGGCCGAGGGUCAAGUUCUGAGAGCGAUUUAUCAAAUUAGAGAGAGGGAAUCGUGCCCAGACAAUUUUAUCGCUGCUCACAGGGACGAAUCCCUUAUCCACGCGACUCUUGUCACUCAAAUGCCAGACUCCGGGGCAGAGUACGAGGCCUGGGAGUACAGAGAUUACUCGAAGAAGGUGGAGGAAGAGUGUCCAUGGGUCGACAUUGCAGAUCACAUCGUGAAAUUCACCCCUGCGUGGUACUUAGAAAAAUACAAAACCAAAUCAGAGUUCAAAGAGAAGUUCGACAUCGUCUUCGUGGCGAAUAACAUCACGAAUCAAAUUCCCACAAUAAUUCCCUGGGUGAAAAGAAAAGGAAUGGUAUUGAUCGAGUCUCGGAAAUUCAUGACAGAACUGUCCAAAGAAGAUCACGAAAAAUUUUCCAGUGAUUUGAAACAAUUAACAGAAGACGCUGGAUUAAAAUUAAUUGAACCCAUCCACGAACCCCUCGAGAACAUCCUGCGAUACAUGAAAGAUUGAAAUAAAAUAGAACGAAGAAUAAAAUGAGGAGUAAUUUUAAUUCUACAAACGACAGUGUAAUCGUAAUAAGCAACAUACUAUAUUAAAAACGAUGUGAUUCCCAAGGCCUCUGUAGCAACGUCAUCCAGGGGUGACCAGUGUGCCGGACGCUCAGCGCAAAGUUCGAAAAGUGGUUGUUUCUCGGGUGUUAUCAACUCACUCUGCAUCGAUCUGCACAGAG